rnacentral:rRNA from 1 species
UAAUACGAAGGGACCUAGCGUAGUUCGGAAUUACUGGGCGUAAAGCGCGCGUAGGCCGUUGAGUUAGUUAAUUGUGAAAUCCCAAAGCUUAACUUUGGAACUGCAAUUAAAACUGCUCGACUAGAGUUUGAUAGAGGAAAGCGGAAUACAUAGUGUAGAGGUGAAACUCGUAGAUAUUAUGUAGAACACCAGUUGCGAAGGCGGCUUUCUGGAUCAACACUGACGCUGAGGCGCGAAAGUAUGGGUAGCAAAGAGGAUUAGAUACCCUCGUAGUCCAUACCAUAAACGAUGAUUGCUAGAUGUUGGAAAUUUAUUUUCAGUAUCGCAGCUAACGCAUUAAGCAAUCCGCCUGGGGAGUACGACCGCAAGGUUAAAACUCAAAUGAAUUGACGGGGACCCGCACAAGCGGUGGAGCAUGUGGUUUAAUUCGAGGAUACGCGCAGAACCUUACCAACCCUUGACAUGUCUGUCGCGAGCUUAGGAAACUAGACUUUUCGGUUCGGCCGGACAGAACACA